UGGAAAAACUUGGAGGCGCUGUCCUUCAGAGU
rnacentral:piRNA from 1 species